rnacentral:sRNA from 1 species
CGACCUCAAUUUGCUGUGGGCAAAUAAAGUGAAUGUGGCUAUCAAUCCCACCUGCAGUGAGAAUCAUGCCUUCCCCCGCGAUCGCCUCCGUGCCAGGACCGAUGAUGAUAUUCACGUUGUCCUGAAUGUAGGGAUUGCCUGCUUUGCCAAUAGCGUGAAUUUUGCCAUCUUUAAUCCCCACAUCGGCUUUGACGAUACCCCACCAAUCCAGAAUCAGUGCAUUGGUAAUUACUGCAUCCACUGCACCAUCAGCAUUGGUGAUUGGAGAUUGCCCCAUGCCAUCG